rnacentral:rRNA from 1 species
UACAGAGGUCCCAAGCGUUGUUCGGAUUCACUGGGCGUAAAGGGUGCGUAGGCGGUCGGGUAAGUCUGACGUGAAAUCUUCAAGCUCAACUUGGAAACUGCGUCGGAUACUAUUCGGCUAGAGGAAUGGAGGGGAGACUGGAAUACUUGGUGUAGCAGUGAAAUGCGUAGAUAUCAAGUGGAACACCAGUGGCGAAGGCGAGUCCCUGGAAAAUACCUGACACUGAGGCACGAAAGCUAGGGGAGCAAACAGG